rnacentral:rRNA from 1 species
GAUGAACGCUGGCGGCGUGCCUAAUACAUGCAAGUCGAGCGAACGGACGAGAAGCUUGCUUCUCUGAUGUUAGCGGCGGACGGGUGAGUAACACGUGGAUAACCUACCUAUAAGACUGGGAUAACUUCGGGAAACCGGAGCUAAUACCGGAUAAUAUUUUGAACCGCAUGGUUCAAAAGUGAAAGACGGUCUUGCUGUCACUUAUCGAUGGAUCCGCGCUGCAUUAGCUAGUUGGUAAGGUAACGGCUUACCAAGGCAACGAUGCAUAGCCGACCUGAGAGGGGGAUCGGCGACACUGGAACGGAGACGCGGUCCAGACUCCUGCGGGAGGCAGCAGUAGGGAAUCUUCCGCAAUGGGCGAAAGCCUGACGGAGCAACGCCGCGUGAGUGAUGAAGGUCUUGGGAUCGUAAAACUCUGUUAUUAGGGAAGAACAUAUGUGUAAGUAACUGUGCACAUAUUGACGGUACCUAAUCAGAAAGCCACGGCUAACUACGUG